ACAUGGAGAGGGGGGACCUGAUCCUAUAUCAUAAUGAAUCAGAUUACAUAGACAGGGGGACCUGAUCCUGAUUCAGCACUCCUCCUUUGAGACACUGCCUUUAUGAAUAAGGAAUGCUGUUGUAAAGUGUAGUUACAGCAGGUGUUUACUGCCAUCUAGUGGAAGAUUCCAAUAAAACACUUUAUUAUCAGGGUGGGGAGACGGCUGAGUGCAGGAUCCAUGGUGAGAUGACAAAAGAGGAAAACACACUAUAUGGAGAGAAGUACAAAUAAAGUAUUUCUGAACAAUAAAGAACAGAUUAAGAUAAUGAAUACCUGGAAUGACAUAUUAUUACUAGUUAGUAGAGGCUCUUCUGUCAUCAUUAUUUACCCAUACACCGGUGACGUCAGAAGGGACGUGAUUUCCUCAUAUGAAAGUGAAAGUAACUGUGUAGUCUACACCGUUACAAAAUGACUGUAGAAAAUGUAGCGCACAUUUCUCUGCAACAUUAGAAGUAGGAUAAAUGUGUUGAUUUGAAGGACAGACGUACAGACUCUGGUAAGUCUUGGCUACAUAUAACUAUUAUAAAGUUAGGUCGUAGUCAGACAUUCAAUAGACAGAGUAGGCUUGAGAUAUGAUUCUUUAUCAUGCUGACCAACCUGGGCCCGUUUUCCACGAUGGAAUUUAGGCUUAACGCUGGAAACGCAUAAGAAGUGGUAAACGAUAAUUAACAAAAUACAAAGUUGAGUAAACGCUAUUUUACAAAUAAAAAGGUGCUUAAGCGCGUUUACGUGGGUUUACCCUCCACUACAUCCCCGUUGAUGUGGUGUGCAGCGUAGAGUGUAUAGUCAUUUAGUCUCUAUAGACCAGGUGGCCAGUUGGUGAGAAACUGUUCAGAUGGGGUGGUUUAGACCACUGCACCACCCAGGAGGUGACUGAAAGUAAAUAUGUGAUUUUGUACAGGAUCCAUUUUGAGAUGACAGAGCAGAAAACACUAUAUGGACAAUACUGACAAAUAAAGUACGAUCAUGGAUAUUGCCUCUGAGUAUUGAAACAGGUAAGAUCAGGGAUAUUUUCUCUGAGUAUUGAAACAGGUCAGUAUUGUGGUGAAAUGGAGGAAAGACUAUGUAACUAUUGUGACCUUAAAGAAAUAGAGAAUUAAACUGAUUUAAUCCUCUAUUUCCUUUUCUACCAUGAUAUACGCUUGCUCUUAUUCCAGAAAGACCACCAGAUAUACCCUGGCAGUAUGUGAUGAGUGAUGAGGAAAAAUUGAAAUGUUUUUUUGUCCAUUGUGUAUUUCCGUUUGUGGAAUAUUUAGAUAAAUCCUGGAAUAUAAGAAAAAUGUUUACCUAUAAUUAAAUUGUAAAAAUAUUUAGCUUCUGCGUGGUAAAUGGUACAUGUGUAUAUAGAUUGUGUAUAGACUUGUCUCCCAUAUGAGUCUUCUAUGUGGUAAAUGGUAUGUGUAUAUAUAGAUUGUGUAUAGACUUGUCUCCCAUAUGAAUCUUCUAUGUGGUAAAUGGUACAUGUGUAUAUAUAGAUUGUGUAUAGACUGUCUCCCAUAUGAGUCUUCUAUGUGGUAAAUGGUAUGUGUAUAUAUAGAUUGUGUAUAGACUUGUCUCCCAUAUGAGUCUUCUAUGUGGUAAAUGGUAUGUGUAUAUAUAGAUUGUGUAUAGACUUGUCUCCCAUAUGACUCUUCUAUGUGGUAAAUGGUAUGUGUAUAUAUACAGUGUGUGUAUAUAUGUAUAUUAUUGUUCUGCUCUAGGGAUAUAAUUAUUGUUUGCAUCACCUUAUUUACUAUUAUGUAUUGAUUUUUACCUUAUUUUUUUCACUAUUCAUGCGAUGCCCAAUGCAGAGAACACCGGAAGGAGAAUUAUCAUUUAAUUACCACAGUCAAUUAUUGUAAUGUUUGUUUAUGUGGCAAUUAACCCCAUAAGGGAUGGGUUGCCAGUUGGCGAUUUUACACGGAAAUAAAAUGUCAUUCAUUCA